CCCAAACCCAGCCACUCACACAUGGCGGGCUCAGCAGCCACCGGCCCCGCCCCUCCUCGUCGCCGCAGUCGCAACUGCGUCUGCGGCCACAGGGCGGACAGCCACGCCUCUGCGGAGCGCGACCGGAAGUGCUCACGUCUUCACCUUCCCCGCCACGCCUCCGUCCUUUCAGGCCCAGCGUGCAGCAGGAAGGAGGACUCUUUUGCCGCGGACUCAAGCCGGAAGCCGCCUUCCUAGUGGAGACGCGAGUGGGGGAGGAGCAGUCCGACGGGAACGUGGGUUGAACGUUGCAACUAGGGUGGAGAUCAAGCUGGAACAGGAGUUCCGAUCGACCCGGUACCAAGAAGGGGAGUGCCCGCGGCAGAAUUAUGAUUCAGCUAAAGUUCCAUCAGAUGAGUAUUGCCCUGCUUGUAGAGAGAAGGGAAAGUUAAAAGCCUUAAAGACUUACCGAAUUAGUUUUCAAGAAUCUAUCUUUUUGUGUGAGGAUCUGCAGUGCAUCUAUCCUUUGGGCUCUAAAUCACUUAAUAACGUAAUUUCUCCUGAUUUGGAAGAAUGUCACACUCCACAUAAGCCUCAGAAAAGGAAGAGCUUGGAAAGCAGCUAUAAAGAUUCACUUCUUUUAGCAAAUUCCAAAAAGACUAGAAAUUAUAUUGCUAUUGACGGUGAAAAAGUUUUGAACAGCAAACAUAAUGGAGAAGUAUAUGACGAAACCUCGUCAAACUUACCUGAUAGUAGUGGUCAACAGAAUCCAAUUAGGACAGCUGAUUCCUUGGAGCGGAAUGAGAUUUUGGAAGCUGAUACUGUUGACAUGGCUACUACAAAAGAUCCUGCUACAGUUGAUGUCUCUGGAACUGGCAGACCUUCCCCUCAAAAUGAAGGAUGUACAUCUAAACUGGAAAUGCCACUGGAGAGCAAAUGUACAUCAUUUCCCCAGACUUUAUGUGUCCAGUGGAAAAAUGCUUAUGCUCUCUGUUGGUUAGACUGUAUCCUGUCAGCUUUGGUGCACUCGGAAGAGUUAAAGAACACCGUGACUGGACUGUGCUUGAAGGAGGAAUCUAUAUUCUGGCGGUUGCUUACAAAAUAUAAUCAAGCCAAUACACUUCUAUAUACCAAUCAAUUGAGUGGUGUUAAAG
rnacentral:sRNA from 1 species